ACUCUGACCAGCCAUGCCGCGUGCAGGAAGACUGCCCUAUGGGUUGUAAACUGCUUUUAUACAGGAAGAAACACUCGUACGUGUACGAGCUUGACGGUACUGUAAGAAUAAGGACCGGCUAACUCCGUGCCAGCAGCCGCGGUAAUACGGAGGGUCCGAGCGUUAUCCGGAAUCAUUGGGUUUAAAGGGUCCGCAGGCGGUCAAUUAAGUCAGAGGUGAAAUCCCAUAGCUUAACUAUGGAACUGCCUUUGAUACUGGUUGACUUGAGUUAUAUGGAAGUAGAUAGAAUGUGUAGUGUAGCGGUGAAAUGCAUAGAUAUUACACAGAAUACCGAUUGCGAAGGCAGUCUACUACGUAUAUACUGACGCUCAUGGACGAAAGCGUGGGGAGCGAACAGGAUUAGAUACCCUGGUAGUCCACGCCGUAAACGAUGGACACUAGUUGUUGGGAUUUAUCUCAGUGACUAAGCGAAAGUGAUAAGUGUCCCACCUGGGGAGUACGAUCGCAAGAUUGAAACUCAAAGGAAUUGACGGAA
rnacentral:rRNA from 1 species